UUAUAGUUUGGAUCCUGGCUCAGAUUGAACGCUGGCGGCAGGCCUAACACAUGCAAGUCGAGCGGAUGAAGGGAGCUUGCUCCUGGAUUCAGCGGCGGACGGGUGAGUAAUGCCUAGGAAUCUGCCUGGUAGUGGGGGAUAACGUCCGGAAACGGGCGCUAAUACCGCAUACGUCCUGAGGGAGAAAGUGGGGGAUCUUCGGACCUCACGCUAUCAGAUGAGCCUAGGUCGGAUUAGCUAGUUGGUGGGGUAAAGGCCUACCAAGGCGACGAUCCGUAACUGGUCUGAGAGGAUGAUCAGUCACACUGGAACUGAGACACGGUCCAGACUCCUACGGGAGGCAGCAGUGGGGAAUAUUGGACAAUGGGCGAAAGCCUGAUCCAGCCAUGCCGCGUGUGUGAAGAAGGUCUUCGGAUUGUAAAGCACUUUAAGUUGGGAGGAAGGGCAGUAAGUUAAUACCUUGCUGUUUUGACGUUACCAACAGA
rnacentral:rRNA from 1 species